AAAAAAUUGGCCAAAACAAUACAAAAAGUGUACUUGCUUUUUCGACUCUGAAUGAGAAUAAAACUUGCAAUUUCAUAGACGAUGGACAGGCAGGAAAUAUUAUUGAGAAAUGUAAUGAUGUAUCUUGUCAUAACUGGAUCUGCAUGGGGCAAGAAAUUAUUUAAAAACAGACCAGGACACAGUCGUCUGAAUCGUCAACAGCCAGUACGAUGUAGAUCUUAGCAGAAAAUGAAGAUGUCAUUGGAACAUUUGAUGAAAUCUAUUUUUAACGUUUCAGCAAUUAUUUAGAAAUGAAAUAAAAUGAUUUGUUAACCUUGUUGUUUCAAACAAACUGAAUGUCGGUCUUGAAGACGAAAGUUGUUGAAAUAUGUUUCCAUCAAUAUAUCUGGUCGCCGAGACCAGAUAAAGAAAACGAACGAGACACAUGCACAAAAGUGAUACAUACAGAGAAACAAAUCAUAUCAAUUUGCAAAAAGAGGCACUUUUGAUUUAUUGGAACAACAAUGGAUUCAUUCACAAUUUUUAGCUGUUAG